UCAGCGGCAGACGGGUGAGUAACACGUAGAUAACCUGCCCUCAAGACGGGGACAACCGGUGGAAACAGCGGCUAAUACCCGAUAUGCUCACAGGAUCGGGAGGUCGAGUGAGGAAAGGCUUCGGUGCUUGAGGAGGGAUCUGCGGCCCAUCAGCUAGUUGGUGAGGUAACGGCUCACCAAUGCGAAGACGGGUAGGGGGUGUGAGAGCAUGGCCCCCCACAAUGGGACUGAGACACGGCCCAUACUCCUACGGGAGGCAGCAGCGGGGAAUAUUGCGCAAUGGACGGAAGUCAGACGCAGCGACGCCGCGUGGGUGAGGAAGGCCUUCGGGUUGUAAAGCCCUUUUCAGGGGAGCGAGAAAGGACGGUACCCUUGGAAUAAGCGUCGGCUAACUACGUGCCAGCAGCCGCGGUAAGACGUAGGACGCAAGCGUUAUCCGGAUUUACUGGGCGUAAAGCGCCUGUAGGCGGUCAAGUAAGUCGGAUGUGAAAGCCCCGUGCUCAACGCGGGGAAGCCAUUCGAUACUGCGUGACUAGAGAACGGCAGAGGGAAACGGAAUUUCUGGUGUAGCGGUAAAAUGCGCAGAGAUCAGAAAGAACACCGAUGGCGAAGGCAGUUUCCUAGGCCGCAUCUGACGCUGAGAGGCGAAAGCUAAGGGGAGCAAACAGGAUUAGAGACCCUGGUAGUCCUAGCUGUAAACGAUGGAUGCUAGGUGUGGGCCGGAAAGGUCCGUGCCGUAGUUAACGCGAUAAGCAUCCCGCCUGGGGAGUACGGCCGCAAGGCUUAAACUCAAACGAAUUGACGGGGACCCGCACAAGCAGCGGAGCGUGUGGUUUAAUUCGAUGCUACACGCAGAACCUUACCUGGGCUUGACAUGUAGGUGGUAGUGAAGUGAAAGCGGAGCGACCCUUCGGGGAGCCUACACAGGUGCUGCAUGGCUGUCGUCAGCUCGUGCCGUGAGGUGUCGGGUUAAGUCCCGUAACGAGCGCAACCCUUGUCCUUAGUUACAAGUGUCUAAGGAGACUGCCGGUGACAAACCGGAGGAAGGUGGGGAUGACGUCAAGUCAGCAUGGCCCUUAUGUCCAGGGCGACACACACGCUACAAUGGUCGGUACAAUGGGCAGCGCAGCC
rnacentral:rRNA from 1 species